GGGGUGGCCAGUCCUCUUCUGGCUGUGCCGGGUGGAGAUUAUAACAGAACAUGGCCAAGAUGUUCAAAUGUUCAUAAAUGACCAGCAUGGUCGAAUAAUAAUAAGGCAGAACAGUUGAAACUGGAGCAGCAGCACAGUCAGGUGGAAGUUGAAACUGGAGCAGCAGCAUGGCCAGGUGGACUGGGGACAGCAAGGAGUCAUCAUGUCAGGUAGUCCUGGGGCAUGGUCCUAGGGCUCAGGUCAGUUGAAACUGGAACAGCAGCAUGGCCAGGUGGACUGGGGACAGCAAGGAGUCAUCGUGUCAGGUAGUCCUGGGGCAUGGUCCUAGGGCUCAGGUCCUCCGAGAGAGAGAAAGAAAGAGAGAAGGAGAGAAUUAGAGAACGCACACUUAGAUUCACACAGGACACCGAAUAGGACAGGAGAAGUACUCCAGAUAUAACAAACUGACCCCAGCCCCCCGACACAUAAACUACUGCAGCAUAAAUACUGGAGGCUGAGACAGGAG
ensembl:lncRNA